rnacentral:rRNA from 1 species
CCUACGGGGGGCAGCAGUGGGGAAUAUUGGACAAUGGGCGAAAGCCUGAUCCAGCCAUGCCGCGUGUGUGAAGAAGGCCUUCGGGUUGUAAAGCACUUUCAGUGGGGAAGAAAGCCUUGGGGCUAAUACCCUCGAGGAAGGACAUCACCCACAGAAGAAGCACCGGCUAACUCCGUGCCAGCAGCCGCGGUAAUACGGAGGGUGCGAGCGUUAAUCGGAAUUACUGGGCGUAAAGCGCGCGUAGGCGGUCUGAUAAGCCGGUUGUGAAAGCCCCGGGCUCAACCUGGGAACGGCAUCCGGAACGGUCAGGCUAGAGUGCAGGAGAGGAAGCUAGAAUCCGCGGUGUAGCGGUGAAAUGCGUAGAGAUCGGGAGGAAUACCAGUGGCGAAGGCGGCCUUCUGGACUGACACUGACGCUGAGGUGCGAAAGCGUGGGUAGCAAACAGGAUUAGAUACCCCAGUAGUC